rnacentral:lncRNA from 1 species
AAAGCUAUGCAUCAUUUUAUAUAGUGUAGCUUAAUUUUAGAUAGUUUAAAUAACAUGAAUAAAACUACAAAAGCAUCAGGGAGAAAUAUGACUUUAAAUUUUUUAUUCUUUAACGAUUUCAUCCACGUUACAAUGUAUUCUGGUCAUCACCCAACACUCACUACUGUCUUACACCCACUGAACCUCUUGGACUUUUAAAAAUCUCAGUGUGACAAAGCCUCUUCACAGAACACACAACAGAUUGUGAGUUCCAGAUCAACCUGGACCACCUGUCUUAAAACAAACACCCAGAGAGGAAGACUGAUACACCACACUCCUAAGCAUUUUAAAACCAUAAUUAAAGUCAAAUAAGCCAAGAGGUGAUGUCAUAAUCCUAGUGCAUACAACAGGCAAAUGUUAACAUGGCUCCAGCAUACAGAGAUCUUUUUACAAAUCAACCAAGUGACCAUAAACAAGCCUAUGGAAAAAUGUAUAACAUCGUAUUAAAAUGAGAAAAACAGCCAGGUGUUUUGUUACAUCUUUAAUCUUAGCUCUUGGGAGGCAGAGGCAGGCAGAUCUCUGUCAGUUCAUGGCCAGCGUGAUUGACAUAGGAAAUUCCAGGGGCAGGGUAAGGGGGUAAGAGAUACAAAAAGAUGUUUAAAUUUGCAAUUGAUUAAAGAAGCUCACAUUUGAAUGAAAAUCAAUUUUCAUUUAUUUUAGUGUCAGAGAUAUAACUGCUAGGUAAAACCAGAUGUUAACAAAGAUGUAGAAAGGGUACUUCAGACUGUACAAAGUGAAAAAUAAUGAUUAAAAAAUACUUAUUAAAUGAGCCCCCCCCCCGCCCUUUUUUUAAAGAAAAGGUAUAGAAAGGCACAUGGUACAGUUUCUCUGGAGAGCCACUUGACUUUCCAGAAUUUCAAGUGUAUUGUAGGAACUCUUCCGAAGACUUAUUCGUGGAGAUCACUGUCCAAGUGCCCAAAGCACACAGAAAUGUGACCACAGCGCUAUUUAAAACAGCAAUGUAAGCUGAAACAGCGGCUCUAUUCUUGGUAAAGAACUAAUUGACUAAAACCACAAAGUAUGUGAUAAUGAAACUUACAACAUGUUGAUAUGGAGUGACACUGGUUCAGUGAAAUAUAAUGAAGAUACUGAAUAACAGAUAAAGUAUGGCCACAGAUGUAUAAAAUAUGCAUAUUGCAUAAAGAAACACCUACAUACCUAGAAGGGCAUUCACUACAAUGUCAACUGCAGUUACCACUAUAUGAAGAGAUUUUCAAGGAGUUUUACUCUAAUUUCUAUUUUCAUGUAUAAUUUGAACUUUUUAAAUGAGCAAAUAAGUACUACUAAACAAUGAAACAGAACAGAUGUAGGGGUCUUGACUUUAUAAGAUGAAGAGCCGAGGGAGGUGGGGGGUUGCACGUACCUUUAAUCCAAGCACUGGGGAGGCAGAGACAGAUGGAUCUCUGUGAGUUUGAGGCCAGGCUAGUCUACAGAGUGAGUUCCAGGACAACAGGACUGUUUCACAGAAAAAGCAAGCAAGCAAACAAACAAACAAAAAACCUGUCUCAAAAAACCAACCCCCCCCCCAAAAUUAAGGUGUAAGUUUUCCCUCAAUGGUUUUAAUUACAUAAAUUGUGGGGAAAUAAUAAAGACUUGACUUUUCACAAAUUCACCUUUAAGCAAGAUGUAGGGUCUCAAGCCUUCUUGCAGGUAGAGAUGUGUGAGUCAGAAAUUGACCAUGACUAUUUUUGUUUGUUAGUUUUUAACUAGGAGCUUAUCUACUUUCUAGAACUUUGCUUUUUUUUUACAGAUGCAAAACUAGAAUAAAAAUAAGUUGUCCUCUGGGAGGUCGUGGUGCUCACCUCAAUCCCAGCACAAGGCCAGCCUGCUCUACAUAGCAUGUUCCAGAACAGCCAGGGCUACACAGAGAAACUCUGUCUCAAAAACAAACAAACAAACAAACAAACAAACAAACAAUACCCCCCCCAAAAAAAACAAGCAAAAGAAAAUUUUUCUCAUCAGUAGCCAUCAACUGCUAGAGAUGAGGGCGGUGUUAUCUCUGCUUCAAAUUUUCCAGUGAACUCUGUAUUUCAAUGUUGAGAAACAGUGCUGUGCACCGGGCUUAGCUCAGAACAUUGCACAAGAUCCCCUUAUCAGUCCAUUAACUUCAGCAUGUGAUGUUUGCCUCUUGCCAGAGCACAGACUGUCUAAAGCGCUUUUGAACUAUAGUUACAUAUGUGAGUUGUGAGUAGAAAUGGACUUUAAUUAGAAACUAUUCAGUAUUAACAUGAAAUGCAAAAUACAUGAAAAGAGCGAUACAUGUCAGGUUCCACGAAAGCGAAAAGAAACCUUGAAAAAGCUGAGAGGUCUAAAUUCUGUGUACAAAUUAUAAAUGUGAUUGUAAGCAUUUGGAGACACACUAGCUUUGUGGUGCUUGCUGGUCCUCUCCUCUGCUCUCCUUCCCCUCUCUCCUCUGCUCUGCUCUCUUCUCCUCUCCUCUUCUGUUCUUUCCUUAGAGCUGGCAGUCUCUUACAGCAAUCCAGUGUUGUUUCCAUUUUAAAGUCUUCUGGAGUCAGCUCAUCAUUAUUAGUUGGUGUGUCUCCAUGUUCAGAUGGGUGUGAUUUUCACAUGCUACUCCAGCCAAGGCAAGCAUGGGCCUUUAACCAUCACAUGAGAGCUGUGAGUUCCAUUCUAAAAGGUCAACACCAGCAGGUCCGUUCAUGUCUGAUUGUCUAUUUAAUGAUCUCUACAAAAGCAAGCUUUAAAAUGUCUCCAAUGUGUUACUGAACAUAGCUCACCAUUCUGAACUGAGCAUACUACAUAAAAUGAUUUAUGUAUUUUGAACUUACAUAAAACCAUUUUAAAACAUUUAUUUGUUAAAAAAUCAAAAGCUCAAGUUUUGAUAAAUGUGAAUAUUGGAGAAUAUGGAUAAGAUACUUUUGGGAAGAGGAGGGAAAAAAAAUCCAAGAUGACAAGAACUGAGAAGAGCAAGAAAAGUAAGCUACAAAUUCGUCAUUGCAUCAGCGCAUGGUGAAACAGUAUAACAAAUAAGGAAGAGAGGAGCAAAUUAACACCCACUUACAUUACAUUUCAAGUAACUUUCAUGUAAUUAUAUGACCAUAAGUGCUUCCUUCCUCUUUAAGCUAAUAUGUCUGUGAUUUUACUUCUUUUAAAAAAAUACUUUCAUUAAUUCUUUGGGAAUUUCGAUGUAUUUUGAUCUUAUUCACCUGCCCUAACUCUUCAAAGAUGUAUUCCCACUCUCCUCGGCACCCAGUCAGCUUCAUGUUCUCUCUCUUUAGUAAACCUAUUAAGUCCAAUAUGUGUUGCCCUGUGUGUGAGGCCUGCCCUCAUGUCUGGCAACCUACUAGGAUCAUCAUUAAAGACAAUUCUCCAGAAAGUUAUCAAAUGCCAAUAGAUCCCCAGCGAGGGGUGGGACUUCAGUACCCCAUCCCCCUAAGCAAACACAUUUUUCACAUUCACAAAACAGAGCAAAAAU